GUCUACGGCCAUACCACCCUGAACGCACCCAAUCUUGUCUGAUCUCGGGAGCUAAGCAGAGUUAGUACUUGGAUGGGAGAAAUAAGAAUUGGCCGGAUA
rnacentral:rRNA from 1 species